CCAGUAUCAGUCCUGGGGUUUAAAUCUUUCGAAGUAGUGAUGGAAGCAGAUACCGGUUUAUUUCUCAUCUUACAAACAGCAGUUUCAUGUGUUACAAGCACUUAAAAGAAGCAAUGUAUAGAGGGCUGUUAUGAAUACUAGCAUGCUGUGAAAGCUAAGCGCUACCACUGCUAUCUAUCUGAGGACCUUCCGAUUCUGCCAUGUUUUAUGCUCUUCCUCAGUGGCCCUGAAGUACAAGAAUGUUAAGAGGAUCACUAUGUCACUGUCACUAUGGUCAAUGGACAAGGCAAUGUCGAAACACUUUAUACCUGUUGUUUUUAGUCAAAUGUUACCCAAAAUGCUUAAUAAGCCAUAAGUAAUGGCUAAGUCCAUUAUGUAAUAAUUCCAGUGUUUAAUAAUUCUGUUUUUGUGCAUAUCUGAUACUAAUUUUACUUAGAAAUGAAAAACUCUAAGAUAUGUUGUUUUUGUUUUUGUGUGUGUGUGUAUGUGUCGUGGUUAAUACAUCACCCUUAUUAACUACGUGGCCAAUGAGCUAUCUUCAUACCACACUAUAUAAGUGGUUGUUUAUGCCUCACGAAAUGCGACAUGGUCGAAAACCCGCCCCUUCCUUUGGUUGCUAUGGACUACAGAGGAGCUGAGUGCUUCCUGAGACUGGGGGAGUUCUUUGCUGCACUUUAGGCUUUUACUUAACCAAGGCUGGUGCUGUCGUACUAGCCUGCCCUUCAUACAGGAAGCCUCAGUCCUCCUAUGAUUAUUGUUAAUUUCCUCUUGUGACUGUUUUAUUUGACCAAUGCCUGACUGUGUUGGCUGCUUUUUAUUUAUUUAUUUUUUUAAAUAGUUCUUGGCCAGUGUUUAACUUUUAAAUAAAAUAAACUUUUGUAUGGAAACUCAUGCCUCUUGCCUGUUCUAAGUGGAACGUAUCUGCGUGUCUUUUAUUUGGGUUGUUUUCUCGGAGUGGUGUGGUUGUUGCAAACGAGCCACUUGCUACAGAUAAAACAAAGGCAACCUGAGUAAACACAAAAUACAGUUUCUAUAUGGUAUUUAUUCAAGCAAAAAAAGUUAUCCAAUACCAUUUGGGCCUGUGUGAAUAUGUAUUUGGCCUCAUAGUUACUAAUUCUGCA
ensembl:lncRNA